AUGAUAAGACAUUCCACCAGGGUUGUGUUGACAGGGUCGACUUUGGCUAGCAUUCGAGAAAGCAUAUCAGAAGCAAAGAGGUUUGUGGUUCAAUUUAUAAUAUUUGCCGCGUUAGAAGAUGAGGGUUGCUAUGAACGACUAUUGGCAGAACAGGCGGGGCUUAAGUUGAAAGAGAAAGGUGAGGUAUAUGAAAGCUACAGCUCUCAGAUGUUCUGGUUAGCAAAAACUUUAUUAGGUCAAGAUGGGUUGUCUAGAGUUGGCUUCAGAUAUCUUCCUGAUAUACUGUGGUAUAAUUAUCUGAUGAAAAGACACGUAAGCGUGAAGAACUUCAAGUGA